UCUGCCUCUAGAGGCAUGGCAGGUGUGGUGGCUGCGUCAUGUGUGCCAGCAGGUGGCACAGAGCAGGUGGUGCUCAUUGUUUCGACCUAUGAACAUCUGAAUGAUUAGUAACCUAACCCU
rnacentral:snoRNA from 1 species